rnacentral:rRNA from 1 species
CAGCCGCCACGGUAAUACGAAGGUCCCGAGCGUUGUUCGGAAUCACUGGGCGUAAAGGGAGCGUAGGCGGCGUGGUAAGUCAGAUGUGAAAUCCCGGGGCUCAACCCCGGAACUGCAUCCGAUACUGCCAUGCUAGAGGAUUGGAGAGGUAGCUGGAAUUCUUGGUGUAGCAGUGAAAUGCGUGGAGAUCAAGAGGAACACUCGUGGCGAAAGCGAGCUACUGGACAAUAACUGACGCUGAGGCUCGAAGGCCAGGGUAGCGAAAGGGAUUAGAGACCCGCGUAGUCCCUGUCUCUUAUAC